CGCCAUUUUGAUGCUACCAAGCCAUCACCCGCCGUUAGCAUCCCAUUGACUGCCAUUCAUUUUGGCGUCACUUUGACAGCGAAUAACUUUACAUCUGAAGCUAAAGUCUAAAGACUCCAUUUGUCCGUUGUUUUUUUCUAAAGAAACAAGAC